rnacentral:lncRNA from 1 species
UUGGUCCGGCAUCAACUUGGUAUUAGAGCAAGGCUGGUUUUGCUUCUAUUGCCAAAGCCCGAUCCAACCACAAUCUUCCUUUCCCUCGGUUCCCACCAACAGCAAGAACAGGACCACUCCCUCUGUCAGUUUCGCUCACCAGAAAAGAGAUCUUCCGCUCUCUCAAUUCUCACAAGAAGGAACAGAGGGGAACCACUCCUGGUUCACCGGGCUUCUCGGUUCCUUCUUCUUUCCCUCUGUCAGAUUCAAAAAAAAAAAAGAGGGAAAACCUCUGCGGCGGGAUCCUCCACCGCCC